GAUUUUUUGCGUGAAUAAUAUAGUUAAGGACCUGGACAGUGACACAGGCUACUUUUUAUCCCGGAAAAUCAAAGAGUUCCCACGGGAUCUU